GGAAACCAAGAAUAACUAUUGAGAUCUUGAAGAUCAAAUAAUCUAAGUGUUGACAAUGCUCUCAACCUCAAAAUACCAUAGUGUAUUUUCUAUCUCUUACAUAAUUCAAAACUGGUUGCUGCCUAACCAAGCCUGAAAACAUCCAAUUAUCUAAACGUAGAAAAAUACCAGAAAAAAGUUAAGAUUGUCGAUGCGAAGAACAAAAACAACCAAAAUUCGCAAUUGCUGUGUUGAGAUGAAGCAGCCUCUAUACCACACUAAAUAAAGCCUCAGAAGCAGAAGGUUGCUCUUGCUAUACUAAGCUGACUCAUGGCUUGAAGUCAGAAAACACGACAACAGAGUUGUGACCACCAAAACCAAAUGAAUUUGAGAUUGCAACAUUGAUCUCGUGCUGCUGUUUCUUGUUUGCAACUGUAUCAAACUCAACUGAAGGCUCAGUGUUAAAUUGGUUUAUUGAAGGAUGCAGCCAGCCAGUUUUUAUGGCUUUAACUGUUGCAAUAGCUUCCAGGCCACCAGCAGCACCCAGGCAGUGACCUAUCAUGGACUUGGUUGCAUUCAUUUUGAUCUCUGAAGUGUUCUUGAAUACCUUCUUAAUAGCGUUUACCUCAGCUAGAUCACCAACUAUUGUGGAAGUUGCAUGAGCAUUUAUGUAAUUAACCUCUUCUGGUGACACUCCAGCAUCUUCAAGGCUACUAAGGAUGCAUGAAGAAACACCAAGUCCAUCAGCUCUGGGGUCAGUCAUGUGAUGAGCAUCACAAUUUACUGCACCACCCAAGUACUCUGCAAUUAUGGGUGCUCCUCGUUUCAUUGCAUGCUCCAAACUUUCCAUCACCAACACUCCAGCUCCCUCUCCCAUAACAAAGCCG
rnacentral:misc_RNA from 1 species